UACGAGAGGCCCAAACGUUAUUCGGAAUUACUGGGCGUAAAGGGAGCGUAGGCGGGUUAUCAAGUUGGAGGUGAAAGCCCAGGGCUCAACCUUGGAAUUGCCUUCAAAACUGAUAGCCUAGAGUAUGAUAGAGGUAAGUGGAACUCCGAGUGUAGAGGUGAAAUUCGUAGAUAUUCGGAAGAACACCAGUGGCGAAGGCGACUUACUGGAUCAUGACUGACGCUGAGGCUCGAAAGCGUGGGGAGCAAACAGG
rnacentral:rRNA from 1 species